rnacentral:tmRNA from 1 species
AAAGCCGACAAUUAAAAUUCGGAAUAAGUAUGUAGACGCCUGUGUGGAAUAUUUUCGGACGCGGGUUCGACUCCCGCCGCCUCCACCA